AGCGAACGCUGGCGGCAGGCUUAACACAUGCAAGUCGAGCGGGCCUUUCGGGGUCAGCGGCGGACGGGUGAGUAACGCGUGGGAACGUGCCCUCUGGUUCGGAAUAACUCAGAGAAACUUGAGCUAAUACCGGGUACGCCCUUUUGGGGAAAGGCUUGCUGCCGGAGGAUCGGCCCGCGUCUGAUUAGCUAGUUGGUGAGGUAACGGCUCACCAAGGCGACGAUCAGUAGCUGGUCUGAGAGGAUGAUCAGCCACACUGGGACUGAGACACGGCCCAGACUCCUACGGGAGGCAGCAGUGGGGAAUAUUGGACAAUGGGCGCAAGCCUGAUCCAGCCAUGCCGCGUGAGUGAUGAAGGCCUUAGGGUUGUAAAGCUCUUUUAUCCGGGACGAUAAUGACGGUACCGGAGGAAUAAGCCCCGGCUAACUUCGUG
rnacentral:rRNA from 1 species